ACUCAGAUUCGCCUUUUCUC
rnacentral:snRNA from 1 species